rnacentral:rRNA from 1 species
ACGUAUGGAGCAAGCGUUAUCCGGAUUUACUGGGUGUAAAGGGAGUGUAGGUGGUAUCACAAGUCAGAAGUGAAAGCCCGGGGCUCAACCCCGGGACUGCUUUUGAAACUGUGGAACUGGAGUGCAGGAGAGGUAAGUGGAAUUCCUAGUGUAGCGGUGAAAUGCGUAGAUAUUAGGAGGAACACCAGUGGCGAAGGCGGCUUACUGGACUGUAACUGACACUGAGGCUCGAAAGCGUGGGGAGCAAACAG